rnacentral:lncRNA from 1 species
UUUUCAUCAAUGGUCAUGAUCAUGCCAACAACUAUCCAUCAAUGCUCUACGAGCCAAUGAGGACUUUUACCACAUCAUUUGUAACAUUACGGUCAUGAUUAUAUCGAAUGAUCCCUGGUCAUAAUCAUACCAAGUCCAUCUAUGCACUACAUGCCACAGAUGACUUUCAACAGAAUAUAAACAUGAGGAUGAUGACAAUGAUAUAGGAAUUCAAUAAAACAAGUUCAAGAAUUAAUUUAUCCAGGAACCAAUAACAUCCAAAUUGUCAACAUGAUACUGCUUUGUAGAGUAAAAUUCAUGAAUGCUCAGAAGAAUAUUUCCAUGAAAAGAUACUGGAUGAAGCGCAAUAUCAAGGAUAUUCCACUAAUUUCAUGGAGUAUAAAAGACAAAACUUUAACCAACUGAGUAUAAUAAAGAAUGGAAUAACAAAAGAAUUCACCAAGCAUGCGAUAGACCGCACAGAUAGGUUAUUCCAACAGAAUAAUAAAUAAUGGAACCAGGUCAUGCAUAAACGCACAGACAGGAUAUUCCAACAGAAUAAUAAAUAAUGGAACCAGGUCAUGCGUAAAGCACAGACAUGAUGUUCCAACAGAAUGAUAAAUAAUGGAACCAAGUCAUGCGUACAACACAGACAGGAUGUUCCAACAGAAUGAUAAAGAAUGGAAUAAUAGAAGAAUUUCACCAUGUAUAUGGUAGUCCGCGUAUACAGGUUAUUCCAACAGAAUAAUAAAGAAUAGAAUAACAGAAGUUCUCUUCAUGAAUACAAAAGAAAUAACACCCCUUACCUUAGUAGGAGAUUGAAUAUUGUAGUAGUGUAGUAACAGAAUACUCUUCCUCUUUCUCUUUUAUUUUCUCUAUACUUUCUCUCUCUAUAGCUUGAAUGAAUUCGUGAAAAAUAAUGAAGAACUAGGCCUCUAUUUAUAGAAGAUUUCAAGCUUAGCCCUUGCAAUGUGAAAAGGCAAGCGGCUUGACGAGUGGUGAUGUGAAAAGAAAAGUGGUUUGACGCCUGUAAUGUGAAACACCAAGUGGUUUGACGCCUGUAAUGUGAAACAACAAGUGGUUUGACGCCUGUAAUGUGAAACGACAAUUGGUUCGACACCUGUAAUGUGAAACGACAAUUAGUUCGAUGCCUAUAAUGUGAAACGACAAUUGGUUCGACGCCUGUAAUAUGACACGGCAAGUGGUUUGACGUCUGGUAAAG